rnacentral:sRNA from 1 species
AGCAGCCGCGGUAAUUCCAGCUCCAAUAGCGUAUAUUAAAGUUGUUGCAGUUAAAAAGCUCGUAGUUGAAUUUCGGGAUCAGUUGGUCGGUCGUGCCUCGGUACGUACUGGUCAAAUUGAUUCCUACCUUCUGACGAACCACGAUGUCAUUAAUUUGGUGUCGCGGGAAAUCAGGACUGUUACUUUGAAAAAAUUAGAGUGUUUAAAGCAGGCUCGCGCUUGAAUACAUUAGCAUGGAAUAAUGAAAUAGGACGUUUGAUUCUAUUUUGUUGGUUUCUAGGAUCGACGUAAUGAUUAAUAGGGAUAGUUGGGGGGCAUUAGUAUUCAAUUGUCAGAGGUGAAAUUCUUGGAUUUAUUGAAGACUAACUACUGCGAAAGCAUUUGCCAAGGAUGUUUUCAUUAAUCAAGAACGAAAGUUAGGGGAUCGAAGACGAUCAGAUACCGUCGUAGUCUUAACCAUAAACUAUGCCGACUAGGGAUCGGAUGAUGUUAAUUUUUUAAUGACUCAUUCGGCGCCUUA